rnacentral:misc_RNA from 1 species
GAUGAAGAACGUAGCGAAAUGCGAUAAGUAAUGCGAAUUGCAGAAUUCAGUGAAUCAUCGAAUCUUUGAACGCACAUUGCGCCCGCUAGUAUUCUGGCGGGCAUGCCUGUCUGAGCGUCAUUUCAACCCUCAAGCUCUGCUUGGUGUUGGGCCCCGCCGCCCCGGCGGGCCCUAAAGUCAGUGGCGGUGCCGUCCGGCUCCGAGCGUAGUAAUUUUUCUCGCUUUGGAGGCCCGGGCGCGUGCUUGCCAUCAACCCCCAAUUUUUUUCAGGUUGACCUCGGAUCAGGUAGGGAUACCCGCUGAACUUAAGCAUAUCAAUAAGCGGAGGA